rnacentral:rRNA from 1 species
UACGUAGGGGGGCGAGCGUUGCCCCGGAAUCAUUGGGCGUAAAGCGCGUGUAGGCGGUCCGGUAAGUCCGCUGUGAAAGUCGGGGGGCUCAACCCUCGGAUGCCGGUGGAUACUGUCGGGCUUGAGUACGGAAGAGGCGAGUGGAAUUCCUGGUGUAGCGGUGAAAUGCGCAGAUAUCAGGAGGAACACCAAUUGCGAAGGCAGCUCGCUGGGACGUUACUGACGCUGAGACGCGAAAGCGUGGGGAGCAAACAGG